rnacentral:lncRNA from 1 species
AGGAUUCAAAAUCAAUAAUUUUUAACGGCUGAAAAUAAAAAUCCUAUAAAAAGUGGUGAUAUAGCACUAAAAUUUUCGAUCGGAAAUAUUGAUCUUGUUGUAGAUAGUAUAAAUAAUUUUGUAUCAAAAUUUCAUUUGAUUUGAAUACUUCUACACCGUUAAACUUGAAAACGGCAGAUAUCAACCAUUAAAAAUUAUUGAUUUUUAAUCCUUUCGAUCACUAGGUAAAUGAUAUCGAAAAAUCGCAAAAUUUAUUUUCUAGAUGCUUCAAAUACGCUAGAUCAAGUCUAACGGAGCCGAUUGUCGAUUCGGAAGCUCCAUCAUCGAAAACGGCUUAGGAGCACGGAGGCUUCCGUGCUCCUAAUAGCACACAAGACCUACUCUCUCUCUCUCUCUCUCACUCUCUCUCUCUCUAUAUAUAUAGAGUGCGACUACUAUACUUUUAUGAGUAUUGACUCUCUUAUACUCAUAAGUUUUCGGCCCUUAGAUUUAUUCCAUUGAUCAUUUUCACCUGUUAGAUCAUACUAUUCAGCCAACUACCCACUCAACCCUAGGGGACCACUAUUAUUCUAAGUAGGGAUCACCAUCAUCCUAACCACACAUCCAUCAAUCAAUGGUUAAAAAUUUAUGAGUAUAAGGGGGUCUAUACUCAUAAGAGUAUAAUAGCCCUAGCCUAUAUAUAUUUAUAGAACUAGGCUGGAAUAUUAUUAAUAGUACCAAUGACUUGGUGCUAUUAAGUUUUCUGCCCUUGGAUUAAAAGAUGAGCGGUUAGGAUGAUGUGGGCCCCCUAGGUUUGAGUGGGUGGUUAGUUGAAUAGUAUAAUCGAACGGAUGAAAAUGAUAAAAGAGGUAAAUCUAGUGGUAGAAAACUUGAUAGCACCAAAUGCUUUAUGCUAUCGAUAGUAUCCCAGCCGGACUCUAUAUAUAUAUAUAUAUAUAUAUAUAUAUAUAUAUAUAUAUAUAUAGUCCGGCUAUUAUAUUCUUAUGAGUACGAUCGCCUUCGUACUCAUUAAACAUUAUUUAGAGUAUUUAAAACUUCUAGAAAUUAAAUUUUAUAAUUUUUUAAUAUCAUUUACCUUACGAUAAAAAAAUCUUAAAAUUGAUAAUUUUUAAUGGCCGGUAUAGGAUACUUGCUAGUUUAACUGUGUAAAAGAAUCAGAAUCGGUUGAAUUUUUGAUAGAAAAUUCUAUUUACUAUCUAAAUAAAUAUCAAUAACUCCGAUCUUAAAUUGAAGGAUCCGAUCAUUCAUUUUUAGGACGUCGUUCAAUUUUGACUGUUCAUUUUAUGCCCGCUUGAUGGACUUUAUUAUGAUUUUGAAAAAUUAUGAAAUUUAUUUUUUUAGAAGUUUCAAAUACUCUAUAUUAUAUUUAACAGAGUGGAUCGUCGAUUCAGAAGCUCCAUCAUCGAAAAUAAUUUAUGAGUACAAAUGGUUCUAUACUCAUAAGAGUAUA